GAGACUCUGUGCGCGUGCAUAUCAAUAAGCGGAGGAAAAGAAACUAACAAGGAUUCCCCUAGUAACGGCGAGUGAAGCGGGAAGAGCUCAAAUUUGAAAUCUUAAAGGGUUUCCCUUUACGAAUUGUAGUUUAAAGAAGUGUUUUCUGUUGGAGUUUCGGUAAAAGUUCUUUGGAAUAGGACAUCAUAGAGGGUGAGAAUCCCGUAUUUGACCGUUACUUUCCAGCUGUGUGAUACACUUUCAAAGAGUCGGAUUGUUUGGGAAUGCAGUCCAAGAUGGGUGGUAAAUUUCAUCUAAAGCUAAAUAUUGGCGAGAGACCGAUAGCGAACAAGUACCGUGAGGGAAAGAUGAAAAGAACUUUGAAAAGAGAGUUAAACAGUACGUGAAAUUGUCAAAAGGGAAGCGUUUGACACCAGUGUUGUUUUUCCGAAAAUCAAUUACGAAUGUUUUGUUUUGAGGAGUUAUGACUUCAUCGGCUUGCUCCUUUCUUUAUGAAACUUUCUUAAUGCACUUUUCGGUUAACAAGUCAACAUCAAUUUCUUUUGUUGUAAAAGGGUAUGAGGAAGGUGGCUUCCUUUUCGGAGAAAGUGUUUAUAGCCUUGUGCCUCUACAAUCGGAGAGAUUGAGGUCUGCAGCGUAGAUCCUUCGGGGUUAGAUACAUUUGUGCUAAGUUAUAGCUUUUCAUAGACAACUUGUUGACUAUGUUUAGUCUUGUAGCUUACUCGCUUAUGCUAUUUUACCUACGCUUAGGAUGUUGACAGCAGUAUAGACUGU
rnacentral:rRNA from 1 species